CGUUUUGGUGGUCUGGCACAGGCUCGCUUACGCGAGGCCGUCUUCCUUUGGACGGUAGUCGUAUCCUGUGUCAGGCUGCCGCCCAA
rnacentral:antisense_RNA from 1 species